rnacentral:lncRNA from 1 species
CGGGGCCGAGGAGGGCGCCCCCCAGCGGACGGAGCGCGAGGGCGGCGCUGGACGGUACCAAGGGCGGGGGGGGCGGGGGGGGACGGGGAGGGAGAGCGACCGCGGGACCGACCCGAAACUGCCCAAAAACUGCCAAAAAUCCGACCAGAAACUGCCCAAAAACUGAUCCGAAACGGCCACAAAACCGGCUCCGAAAUCUGCCCCAAAAUUGACCCGAAACUGCCCAAAAAUGGACCCGAAACUGCCCAAAAACGGACCCGAAACUGCCCCAAAACUGAUCCUAAACGGCCACAAAACCGGCCCCGAAAUCUGCCCAAAAACGGACCCGAAACUGGCCAAAAACGGAUCCGAAACUGCCCAAAAACUGCCAAAAAUCCGACCCGAAACUGCCCAAAAACUGAUCCGAAACGGCCACAAAACCGGCCCCGAAAUCUGCCCAAAAACGGACCCGAAACUGGCCAAAAACGGACCCGAAACUGCCCAAAAAACAGACCCGAAACUGCCAAAAAUCCGACCCGAAACUGCCCAAAAACUGAUCCGAAACGGCCACAAAACCGGCCCCGAAAUCUGCCCAAAAACGGACCUGAAACUGCCCAAAACCGGAUCUGAAACUGCCCCAAAACCACCCAAAAACUGCCCCGAAACGGCCACAACAUUGCCCUGAAAUUGAACCGAAACUGCCCCAAAACUGAUCCGAAACUGCCCAAAAACUGAUCCGAAACUGCCCAAAAACGGCCACAAAAUCUGCCCCGAAACGGCCACAAAAUGUCCCUAAACCAUCACUAAAAGCGUCCCCAAACUGACCCAAAAGUGUCCCCAAAAUUGUCCCUAAAUGGGUCCCAAAUGUCUCCCUAAAUGUGUCCCAAAUUUGUCCCUAAGCCGGCCCUAAAAUCAUCCCCAAACAGACCCCAAAAUUGUCCCCAAACUGUCCCCAAAAUGACCUCAAAAUUGUCCCCAAAAUUGUCCCCAUUGUGCCCUAAAAUUGUCCCCAAACUGACCCCAAAACUGUCCCCAAAAUCGUCCCCGAACUGACCCCAAAACUGUCCCCAAAAUCAUCCCCAAAAUUGUCUCCAAAAGUGUCCCCAAAAGUGUCCCCAUUGUGCCCUAAAAUCAUCCCUAAACUGACCCCAAAAGUGUCCCAAAUGUGUCCCUAAACCGGCCCUAAAAUUAUCCCCAAACUGACCCCAAAACUACCCCAAAAUCGUCCCUAAACUGACCCCAAAACUGUCCCCAAAAUUAUCCCCAAACUGACCCCAAAACUGCCCCUAAAAGUGUCCCCAAAAGUGUCCCCAUUGUGCCCUAAAAUCGUCCCUAAACUGACCCCAAAAGUGUCCCCAAACUGACCCCAAAAGUGGCCCCAAAAGUGGCCCCAAAAUUGUCCCCAUUGUGCCCUAAAAUCG